rnacentral:rRNA from 1 species
CUGUUCCUACGGGGCGCAGCAGUGAGGAAUAUUGGUCAAUGGGCUUACGCCUGAACCAGCCAAGUCGCGUGAGGGAAGACUGCCCUAUGGGUUGUAAACCUCUUUUGUCAGGGAGCAACGACGGCUACGUGUAGCCGGACUGAGAGUACCUGAAGAAAAAGCAUCGGCUAACUCCGUGCCAGCAGCCGCGGUAAUACGGAGGAUGCGAGCGUUAUCCGGAUUUAUUGGGUUUAAUGGGUGCGUAGGCGG